UUGACAGCCCUGGAGACUGAAAUCCUCUAUUUAUCCACAGGACAGGUACAGCACAGGCAGCGACAGUGCGAGCUUUCCCCACACCACCCCGUCCAUGUGCCUCAACCCUGACCUGGAGGGACCACCUCUAGAGGUGAGAGGGGAUGUUCAGUCUCCAAGGCUCACUCAAUCCUUCUGCCUCA
ensembl:misc_RNA Gm55307 predicted gene, 27406